CCUACGGGUGGCAGCAGUGGGGAAUAUUGGACAAUGGGGGGAACCCUGAUCCAGCCAUGCCGCGUGUGUGAAGAAGGCCCUCGGGUUGUAAAGCACUUUCAGUGAGGAAGAACGCCUGGUGGUUAAUACCCAUCAGGAAAGACAUCACUCACAGAAGAAGCACCGGCUAACUCCGUGCCAGCAGCCGCGGUAAUACGGAGGGUGCGAGCGUUAAUCGGAAUUACUGGGCGUAAAGCGCGCGUAGGUGGCUUGAUAAGCCGGUUGUGAAAGCCCCGGGCUCAACCUGGGAACGGCAUCCGGAACUGUCAAGCUAGAGUGCAGGAGAGGAAGGUAGAAUUCCCGGUGUAGCGGUGAAAUGCGUAGAGAUCGGGAGGAAUACCAGUGGCGAAGGCGGCCUUCUGGACUGACACUGACACUGAGGUGCGAAAGCGUGGGUAGCAAACAGGAUUAGAUACCGAGUAGUC
rnacentral:rRNA from 1 species